rnacentral:rRNA from 1 species
UACGAAGGGGGCUAGCGUUGCUCGGAAUCACUGGGCGUAAAGGGUGCGUAGGCGGGUCUUUUAAGUCAGGGGUGAAAUCCUGGAGCUCAACUCCAGAACUGCCUUUGAUACUGAAGAUCUUGAGUUCGGGAGAGGUGAGUGGAACUGCGAGUGUAGAGGUGAAAUUCGUAGAUAUCGGAAGAACACCAGUGGCGAAGGCGGCUCACUGGAGUCGGCAUUGACGCUGAGGUGCGAAAGGCGUGGGAGCGAACAGG